CGACUUGGACGAGGCACAACUCCUCAAUAACACGCACAAUGGGAAAUUGGGGAGGUAGAGGCAACGGACAGAUGUGUGAUGCGCUUACUUAACCGUGGGCGAUUUCACAUAUCAACAUAAACUUUUAUUUGCCCUCUCUCCGACGCAGCUUCUUUGACCAGGCUGAGGUAUUGAUACUCGCUAGACCUGCGUUUUAUAUAUAUUUUUUUGCUGCCAGCACCGAUGCAGCGGUGGAUCUUUUUUUCGGGAAUGGGGGUGAUACUCAAUAGACAGAUCCUGUUGAAUUGAGACAAGACAACGCCGAGACGUGUCCAAAAAGUGUCAUCCCUCGAGUGCAAUCGAACACAGAUGUAUAGGUGACAUGUUCGCCGGUUGGAUACGUCGAGGGAUUUUAAUAUUCCCAAAACAAGAUGCGAAAUUGGGCAAACCAAGGAAUUGCAUCCUCACCUACAGCACAUUUUGUAAGGUGCUGAGACGAUUUCGUUCGGCCUUUAUCAAAUGUAAGUGGAAUGUCUAAAUGAAUGAAGCUGCUGAAGACGUCAGAGGAAUAAAGUCAUUCAGAAUCACUGAAGGUGUACAGCAUAAAAGGGCCGGUUUUCUCAUCACCUAAAAUGGCAACCAGGAGGGACCACGAAAAGGCAAAAAUGCCGUAUUUCUGCAAGUACUCACACUGGAGUUAAGCACCUGAUGGACAAAUUAGGUGGUUUUGUGAAUAUAUUGUCCAAUAUCUGGUGAUUUAAUAGGCUAUACAUUUGAAAAGCAUAAAAGGUCUACCCAUCUACAGCCUAUAUUCACUUGGCUGUAAUAAUGAUGUCAUAAAAUACAGGAGUCCGUUUACAAAAAUAUAUUCAUGUGAUUUAUGUCAACGACAAUGUGAACUAUAUUCCAAAAAUGGACCUUUAAUUACGCAUUCUUAACUCACCUACGCCUCACUGAAUAACACGUGCCUGCUAUCUGUCAAAGCAGGAUCAACCAACCUGUGCGCCCUUUGCUACAAUUUGCUACUUUCCAUUGUCCUACACGAGUCGUCGCUAAAGGGAUUAUAUCAUUCACUCAGAACUGAAUAUACACCCUCCUCAAAAUGGAGUUUGCCAUGAUAGGUGCAGAUAAUGGGUGCAAAACUCGACUGCCUUACGGGUAUGCUCGCGCACGGGAAAGGGAGCACGAAAGGGAGAGACAGGUACAGCAGGCAACAGCCGCUGCGGAAGGUGCAGCGAGUGGAGAGGUAGGGGAGUCCUCUGGCCAUCUCCUUAACAACCACCAGCAGCAUCAGUCUCGCACCGCCUCCUCAUCAAAUGCCAACAACAGUAGCGGCAGUACCGCCUCGCGCCCCUCCUCCUCGCAACAGCCACAGCAGCACCACCAUGAGUCCGAGCAGCAGGUUCUCAGAGAAAGGAAAAAGCAACGCGGCGUAGGACGUUGGAGAAGGAGCCGCCAGACUCUCGGUGGGGACUUGCGCCACUCGGAGUUGGCGCUACUUGGAUCAGAGGAGGAUAUGAUAGAGGAGGACGAGGCGGAAGGCGGAGAAGAGGAGGACAGGGGAAGCAAGAGUUCCAGUUUUCUCUGUAUUAUGGAUGAUGAAGAUACUGUCUCACUCACAGACAGACGUCCCCAAUCAGGAUACGCAAAUGUUUACAGCGAGUAUGGGUGCUGCGAAAGAGUUGUUAUUAAUGUGUCCGGACUAAAGUUUGAAACUCUACUUAAGACUCUCUCACAGUUUCCUGACACUCUUUUGGGAGACCCGGACAAACGAAUCAGGUACUUCGACCCUCUAAGGAACGAAUAUUUUUUUGACAGGAACCGACCAAGCUUUGACGCAAUUCUUUAUUAUUACCAGUCAGGGGGGCGAUUGAAGAGACCCCAAAAUGUACCGUUUGACAUCUUCUCUGAGGAGGUGAAAUUCUAUGAACUCGGAGAGGAGGCAAUACUGAAGUUUCGGGAGGAUGAGGGUUUUGUCAAAGAGGAAGAGAAACCCUUACCAGAGGACGAGUUCAAACGCCAAAUUUGGCUUCUUUUUGAAUACCCAGAGAGCUCACAACCUGCGAGAGGGAUUGCAGUCGUGUCCGUUUUAGUCAUCGUAAUAUCAAUAGUCAUUUUCUGUAUGGAAACGUUGCCAGAGUUCAGGGACGAAAAAGAAUACCUUAAACCACGAGACAAUUCAACAGAACCUCAUGGACAGACCCCUUUUAACGACCCUUUUUUCAUUGUGGAGACGGUGUGCAUUAUUUGGUUUUCAUUUGAGAUUAUAGUGCGCUUCUUUGCAAGUCCAAGUAAAACGGAUUUCUUUAAAAACAUUAUGAAUACUAUAGACAUUGUAUCGAUUUUGCCUUAUUUCAUCACGCUCGGCACAGAUCUUGCUCAACAGCAAGGCAAAGGGGACCAGGCAAUGAGUUUUGCGAUCUUGAGAAUAAUCCGCCUUGUCAGAGUCUUUCGCAUAUUUAAACUCUCCAGGCACUCCAAAGGACUGCAGAUCCUCGGACAUACCCUCCGCGCCAGUAUGAGGGAACUAGCGCUUCUAAUUUUCUUCCUCGUUAUUGGUGUUAUUUUGUUCUCAAGUGCAGUGUACUUCGCGGAGGCAGACGAACCCGCGUCUCAAUUCACAAGUAUUCCCGACGCUUUUUGGUGGGCUGUCGUCACAAUGACCACGGUCGGAUAUGGAGACAUGAAACCGAUUACUGUCGGUGGCAAGAUAGUGGGCUCGCUCUGUGCCAUAGCGGGUGUGUUAACCAUAGCUCUUCCAGUGCCCGUCAUUGUAUCCAACUUCAAUUACUUCUACCACAGGGAGACUGAUAAUGAAGCAGACUCGCCACCGGUUGUCGAAACCCCACCACCUGCCUGCCCCUAUUUCCCCAACUUUCUAAAAAAAUUCAAAGGGUCCCCCUCGGGCUCUUCGCUGGGUGAUAAAGCGGAGUACAUGGAGAUGGAAGAGGGGGUAACGGAGUCGCUGUGUGGGGUGGAUACAAGCCUGAGUAAAGGAAACGGGACAGACAUUGGCAGGAAAAACAGUACAAGUUCAAAGUCACAACAGACUGACGUGUGAUGACCAAAAAAAAAUAUUAUUCUCGUGAAGAAAGAUAUGCUGUCAUAUCACACACACAUAGGUGGUCAGACUCACACAAGUGCGCACUUGCGCGCAUGCACACACACACUUUAUAUUUAGCUAGAUCUUGGGAAGCUCAAACAUGGUGUUUUAUUUUGCCAUGUGGCUGCUUAGAGGAAUAUAGGCCUACGGAAAAUAGACGCCCAAAUCAAAAGCUUUAUAACUAUUAUGACCAAUGUAAUCCGAUGAUAUCAGAUAUAGGCUGCCUAUCUGGGUCUCGUAAACCUACAAAUGACAUCGAAAAUAUUUAAGGGACAGGCUAUGCAUAUGCACUUUAUGAGUUUCAUUUGUCAAUAAUGGAAGGGGAGAUAUAGUUAUUGUUUUGCUGUUAUGCGAUAAAGUCAAAGUUUAUAGUAGGCCUAGUUUGCACUAUUGUAAAAGCUUGUUUGAGACGCUGACUUUCAAGAGUGAUAGACUUGGAAGUAAUAUUGAGAGACAGAAACUGUAGGACAUAUGGCAACCUAGACACUCUUCGUCUGGCAUAAUGAGUAUUGAGAUGUUUUUUUAUUCUGAACAAUAAUCAAUUCUUAUUGCGUUUCAGUGUAGGUCUAACCCCUCUGUGUACACAAUAAAAUAAUCAUUCAAUAUCGAUCGGAAACAUUGAAAUAGCUAAAUCAUUUGUGAGAUUCUUGAGUAAAUGAGCAUGAAGCCUAUUUUGGCAGCACACUGAGGUCAACAAGUGAGACGCUUGGCAAGCAACAUUCUUUGCAACGAUUAGGACAAAAUAAAGCCUUGUAUUGACCGACCACCGAGGCGAAGCACAGGAAUUACCACACCGGCUGUCAUGAGAGGUCCUGCACGGAUAUCUUGCGCGACUACAACUCCGUCCCUUUAAAACCACCUCAAACUAACUGACAAUAUCCCUUUACACGGACGUUGACGGAAACUUAUUUGGGGGAAAAAAUUACUGUCAUCAUGGAAACUUUGGGUUUGUGAACUUAAUCUCUUGUUCGCUGGACCUAGUGCACAUUUCUCUAAAAUGAGAAAGGAAGGUCUGUUGGUCAUCCCAGAAAGCACCAAGAUCUCCAGCAGGCGGUUGUUUCCCAAGUGCUGUCAGUUGAUGGCUUAGGAGAGGAUGUGCUGGCUGGUACUCUUGGAAUUGUCAGAGAAAGAGCAAAUAUUAUGACUGGUCAUCUGGGGUGAGAUAACGGACAUCGAUGACCACAGAUCUACUGCAAGAGUGAACCCAGCGAUCGGACAUCGGAAGUUUGAAUGGACAAAUUAGACAUUGGGACACUAUACGGAGUGCACAAGGAACGAGAAUCUUUCCUAGUAAACCUGGAGGCAGGGAAAUGAGUAAGUCAUGGCCCAAAUGAUUGCCUUAAUUAUUACAUAUAUACCUAUAUAUGAAGUGAUGAAACUAGAGACUUAUCCGAGUUCAAAUAUGUUUUUCUUUAUGUGUGAAACAGUGUCUUGUAAGGAACAGAUGUGAAUAUUUUAAUAAGAUAAAGAAAAAUUGUUUGGUUGUUAUGUCGACAAUGUCUUAGUUGGGUCUGCUUUGUAGGUGUCAUUGAUAACCAAAUGGCGGGGCUGCUCUCUGCUUACUUGCAGCCAGUAAAAUGAGUUGAUCUAUUUUUAUCUCGUUUCGUAUUGUCAACCAAAAUAAGGCUGGCUUGAGGCGGAGCUGCUCACUCAGCUACCGGCUCCAAUGUCUUUCAAUUCACAACAUCCUGUUAUGUUAACUAUAUUCCAAUUCAGAAAGGAGUAGGGAGUCAAAAAUUAGACAAAAUGACUCUACAAUAUACAUGAAACAUAUCUGAUUCUUUUUCUCCUCUUUUUUUCCACAUACUGUAAGCAUCUGUUCACACACUCUCAAACACAAAAGAUGUCAGGUACGCACACACACACACACACACACACACACACACACACACACACACACACACACACACACACACACACACACACACACACACACACACACACACACACACACACACACACACACACACACACACAAUGAUCUACCGAAGUGACACAAAGGGUUUUCCCUAAGAUGCAAAUUGUAUUAUGUUAAUGACAGAAUUGACCAGCUGCUUUGUUGACGCAAACUCGAUCCAUUUAAAGUUAACUGUAUGCAAAGUAACAUGGAAGUGUGUUAUAUAUUUUUGUAAACCUAGCCUUGACUAUAUUACUUAACCAAAGUUUAAACCCUGAUUCUAUUGUACGUGGUGGACACUUCCUCUGGAGAUGUUGUGAAAAUAGAUGCACAUUGAAUAGAACAUAUAUAUGCUGAUGUUUAUAUUUAUGUGUCCUACAAUGUGUCGCAAAUCAUGACAUUCGAGACACUUCUAUUUAGUUUGACUGUUAACGAUGUUCAGAUGUCAUGUUCCAUUUUUAUUUACAUGAAGAUUGAACAUUUUGUGGAUGCUGCUUCAACAAGAUCCAUGAUUUCCCCCUUCAAUUUUGUUUUUUUGACAAGUGGGCUAUUUCUUUUUUGUGCUGUUCUCAUUUAACUGCUCGUAGAAAACCUGCCCACUCUCUUUUUGGCCUGCUUUCAAAGACACCGAUUUGUAUGCACUGCUUGCUUGUUGCAGCUUUGUCAGACAAAUCAAGUGUUUGCUUUAUUAAAACAUAAAUGCCAUCGUAUGUUUAACCCCAUCCUUCUUACGUUCAGUCAACAGCCAAGAACUUAGUAAUGCUCGCUCCUGGGCGUACUGUCUAUAAUUGUGAGGUGGCCCAUGAUGACUGUGCUUCAGAGCAUCACCUUCACAGAGUUUUUUAUUCUUUUAUGUUAUUGAAAGGGGUGGAACCUAAUAUUUGAUACUGUAUUAUUUGCAUAGGCAAUCUACUGCAUUUCUACUCUCUUCCAUAAAAAGAAAACUAACAUAUUUCAUUGUACUGUCUGAAAAGACAUAGAUCACUUGAAUCUGGAGAUGGAAAUUGCCCUUAUAUCAGUGUCUGCCCCCCCCCCACCACCACCACCACCACUCCACCAAUGCCUGUCGAUUUUUCUUGGUUAUGAUAUAUCCCGCUAUUACAAAAUAGUUAGAGGUCUGUAGUCAAGAUUUUCCUCAAUGUUCAGAAAACCCUAUCAAACGUACCAUGCUAGCCUCUGCUAAAAUGGACUUUGUUAUCAAACUCUUAAGCACCAUUGGCUAUUUACCCUUGAUUGCAGAAAGAGUAUGCACUGUUUAUUCCCUGAUCCCAUAGUCCCGUUGUUCUACAUUUUGAAGCAAACACAAAGCGCAUGCAUGCACAUUUUGGUAAUUGACGUCUAUCAAUCAAUGUAUAAGUUUACAUCUAAAUCCCUCAGCAUUUAAUGGUAUCCUUUAGUGUGCCUAGCAAGAAGUUGCUGUGUCUUGCCGUAGUUAAGCUAAAAUACUCUGGAUUCCCAAAUUGUAGUUGAAUAAGCAGUAACUUAAGGGAAAACAACGAGAAAGAUGUAUCUUUCAAAAUCAAGUGUUUCUAGUAUAUUACGAUGUUACUAUACUGUUAGAUACUGUAUACUGUGUUAGCAAAGCUGACCUUCUUCCUAGUUAACUACACAAUCCGUAGUACAUCUCCGAAGUGGUGGUUUCUUUUGAAAUUAUCAGUCAGUGUUAUGUCCCGGCCUAAAGCACUUUGCAUAAUGAUGAAAAUGUAAAAAAAAAAAAUAAAUCACUAUAAGUAAUUGGUAUAGCCUGAGUACCCAACAAUGAUAUUUGACUACAUUAUGGUAGAAUAUUAUGGUAAUGGCCUAAUUGUGAUUGGACUGAACUGAAAAGACAGAGUCAAAGAAAAGGCGUUUUACAAUGCCCUAAUGUCAAAGAUGGGGCUUAGCCCUGUCUACAGUAUCUAUACGUAUCCUUAGUAUAGAUAUGAGGCCUGCUUCAAGGUGUGACUAGUUACAGUGAAAAGGUCCAGAAAAUGUACAACUAGCUGGUCUGUCUUUGAACACCAACCUGGGCCCGUACUCACACAAAGUGUCUCAGAGUGCUGAUCUGGGAUCAGUUCCCCUGUCCAGGUUAUCUUAUUCAUUGUAAUAUAAAAGUCAAAACUGAUCCUUUAUCAGCACUCCUACUCUGACACGCUUGAUACGUACAGCCCCAAAUAUGACAAAUGUAUACAAAUCAAAUCAAGUUCAGAAUUUCAAAAUCAUUAUAAGGACAUGUUUAACCAUUGUAUACAUUUGAAAGUAGUGCCUUUCUCAGGUAUAGACUGGGAAGCUGUUAAGGGUCCAUUGUGUAUAUAAAUAUAACAAACAUAUACAAAUCAAAUCAAGUUUUAUUUUUCAAACGCUUCAUAGACAACAGGUGUAGACUAACAGUGAAAUGCUUAUUUCCAACAAUGCCGAGUUAAAGAUAAAACAUGUAAUACGACAUUUAAAUAGUGACACAAGGAAUUAAUACACAGUGAAUAACAAAUACAAAUAAAUAGUAAAAGUAACAUAUAUACAGGGAGUACCAGUAACGAGUCGAUGUGCAGAGGUACGAUGUAAUUGAGGUAGCUAUGUGCUGUACAUAUAGGUAGGGGCAAAUUGACUAGGCAACAGGAUAGAUAACACACAGUAGCAGCAUGCGUAUGUGGUGAGUGUGAAAGUGUGUGUGUGUGUGUGUGUGUGUUGCGUCAGUAUGCAUAUUUGUGCAUGUUAUGUGAGUGUGGGCGUAUGUAGGGUGUGUGUUUGUUACAGUGAUAUGUUUCAGCCAUGGAAUCAUUGUACCAUCACUAAGUACGUUUACCGUGAACAUCCACAUGGAAAUGACAUGGGUUAUUCUUCUGUUAAAUUGUAACUCAAUGUUAAUGCAGUCCACGUAUGUGUGUGUGUUUGAACCAUUCGUUUUCAUGAACACUGGAGGGUCAGUAAGGGAGCGAAAUCAAAUUAGAACUGACUCUUAAAGUUUAUAUUAAAACAACUCCGUAGAAGUGUAUUUGAGGAUGUUAUAAUAUUUCUACAGUCCAAAUGUGAUAAAGUGCCCAUGUUUUGGUCAGCCUUGCUUUUUUUCUGCAUGAUGCUUUGUUUUUGAAAAGUGCAUCCUCAUCUGAGAUGUUUGUAUUCUUUUCUUGCGGUUACUUCUUCUCUGUGUACUAUUGGAGCUCGUUCAUUUCCUACCUAUGUUUUUUAUUUUUUUUAUUUAGGGUAAAUCUACAGACUUUUUGAUUUUCUACAUUAAUAUCAUUUUUGUAGGCAGCAAUAUGAGAUGUGAUCAAACGGAGUAUGUGCAAUGUUGAAUAAAGAAAAAUAUAAUAUAUGAAAUACAAACAACUGUGAGAGUGACUUGAAGGUAUUGCAACAACGUGAUCUAUGAGUGGUAUCUAUGAGUGGUACCUCAUCAUUUACUGGUUAUGUCCUUAUGCAAGAACAUGUUUUGCAUUAUUUUCUCUCCUAUAGAUGUUGAUAUAUAGUGUUUGGCAGGAUUCCAAAUCCAAAAGACGCAUAUGGCAAUUACAAUAAAUAAGGACUUGAUGAAUUCAAUUCGGAAUAGGAUGUUUCCCUAAAAAUGUUUAUUGCUGCCAUAGGCAUUCUGUGACUCAUCCUAGUUUUUCCAAAUUUGGAAACAGACAGUGUCACCCAGGGUCUUUUAGAAUGUUCCAAGCUUUCUUACAUCUGUCACCCAGUUGCCUCGAAGGCUUCCCAAUAACCAGAAAUAUUCUGUAUAAACCACUCUUGACAAUUUUCUUUUACUCUUAUCUCAUAAUUUGAAAGAUAUUCUUGACAAGACCUUGUACACCAUUUCUAAAACGUGUUAGUCCACAACAAUGUCCUCAGAAAAUCUUAGAGCUGCAUGGAUUUCUCGAGACUAUAACCAGUGUAGCUUCGUCGCGAACCAGGCUUCCCGAAAACAAGUUCCAUGGCAGAAAUGAGCUAAAGAGGGGUCAGACCACGUCAAACCACUCAAAUGCCUUGCUUGGGCAGAGCUCCAAAGGUGCUCACCAGAUUAGUACUGUGAGGACAAAAGAUGUCUACUGUAACGUCCUGACCAGAGUUCGUAUGUGUUUUGCUUGUUUAGUGUUGGUCAGGACGUGAGCUGGGUGGGAAUUCUAUGUUGUGUGUCUAGUUUGUCUGUUUCUAUGUUGGGUUAAAUGUGUUGCCUGAUAUGGUUCUCAAUUAGAGGCAGGUGUUUGACGUUUCCUCUGAUUGAGAACCAUAUUAAGGUAGGCUGUUCUCACUGUUUGUUUGUGGGUGAUUGUUCCUGUGUCAGUGUUGGUGCUACACGGGACUGUGACGGUUAGUGUGUUUUGUCAGUUUGUAUAGUGUCUUGUUUUUGUUUGAUUAAAUUCAUUAUGUCUAAUUA